rnacentral:snRNA from 1 species
AUCGCUUCUCGGCCUUUUGGCUAAGAUCAAGUGUAGUAUCAGAAUUAAAAUUUGGCUUUGCGAUAUUUAAUGUUCAAUAUUGUCUUUCUGAUCCAUGUCUGAAUCCUUU